rnacentral:rRNA from 1 species
GACGAACCGUGCGAACGUUGUUCGGAAUCACUGGGCUUAAAGGGCGCGUAGGCGGGGUCGCAAGUCUGUGGUGAAAUCCGUCAGCUUAACUGACGAACUGCCGUGGAUACUGCGACUCUCGAGGGGUGUAGGGGCAUGUGGAACUCAGGGUGGAGCGGUGAAAUGCGUAGAUAUCGGAAGGAACGCCGGUGGCGAAAGCGGCGCGCUGGAUCUCUACUGACGCUGAGGCGCGAAAGCUAGGGGAGCAAACGGG